CCAGUAGCGUAUAUUAAAGUUGUUGCAGUUAAAAAGCUCGUAGUUGAAUUUCGGGGUUAGUAGGUUGGUCAUGCCUCUGGUAUGUACUGGUCUCACUGAUUCCUCCUUCCUGAUGAGCCGUAAUGCCAUUAAUUUGGUGUUGCGGGGAAUUUGGACUGUUACCUUGAAAAAAUUAGAGUGUUUAAAGCAAGCUAACGCUUGAAUACAUUAGCAUGGAAUAAUGAAAUAGGACGUUCGAUCCUAUUUUGUUGGUUUCUAGGAUUGACGUAAUGAUUAAUAGGGAUAGUUGGGGGCAUUAGUAUUCAAUUGUCAGAGGUGAGAUUCUUGGAUUUAUUGAAGACUAACUACUGCGAAAGCAUUUGCCAAGGAUGUUUUCAUUAAUCAAGAACGAAAGUUAGGGGAUCGAAGACGAUCAGAUACCGUCGUAGUCUUAACCAUAAACUAUGCCGACUAGGGAUCGGAUGAUGUUAAUUUUUUAAUGACUCAUUCGACGCCUUACG
rnacentral:rRNA from 1 species